GCCUGGCUGGCUCAGCUGGUAGAGCAUGAGACUCUUGAUCUUAGGGUCAUGAGUUCGAGCCCCGUGUUGAAUG
rnacentral:tRNA from 1 species